rnacentral:rRNA from 1 species
CACGUAGGAGGCAAACGUUAUCCGGAUUUACUGGGCGUAAAGCGCGUGUAGGUGGUUCUGUAAGUAGGGCGUGAAAGCUCCCGGCUCAACUGGGAGAUGCCGUUCUAAACUGCAGAGCUAGAGGAUGGUAGAGGGAGGUGGAAUUCCAGGUGUAGCGGUGGAAUGCGCAGAUAUCUGGAGGAACACCAGUGGCGAAGGCGGCCUCCUGGACCAUUCCUGACACUCAGACGCGAAAGCUAGGUAGCAAACAGGAUUAGAUACCCGCGUA